rnacentral:rRNA from 1 species
UACGUAGGGUGCAAGCGUUGUCCGGAAUUAUUGGGCGUAAAGAGCUCGUAGGCGGUCUGUCGCGUCGGAUGUGAAAAUCCAGGGCUCAACCCUGGACCUGCAUUCGAUACGGGCAGACUAGAGUUCGGUAGGGGAGACUGGAAUUCCUGGUGUAGCGGUGAAAUGCGCAGAUAUCAGGAGGAACACCGGUGGCGAAGGCGGUUCUCUGGGCCGAUACUGACGCUGAGGAGCGAAAGCGUGGGGAGCAAACAGG